CGUGGGUAACCUGCCCAAGAGAUCGGGAUAACACCUGGAAACAGAUGCUAAUACCGGAUAACAACAGAUGAUGCCUAUCAACUGUUUAAAAGAUGGUUNUGCUAUCACUCUUGGAUGGACCUGCGGUGCAUUAGCUAGUUGGUAGGGUAACGGCCUACCAAGGCGAUGAUGCAUAGCCGAGUUGAGAGACUGAUCGGCCACAUUGGGACUGAGACACGGCCCAAACUCCUACGGGAGGCAGCAGGU
rnacentral:rRNA from 1 species